GAGUUUGAUCAUGGCUCAGAUUGAACGCUGGCGGCGUGCCUAACACAUGCAAGUCGAUCGGUAACGCGGGGGCAACCUGGCGACGAGAGGCGGACGGGUGAGCAAUGCUUGGGGAAUCUGCCUAUUAGUGGGGGAUAACCAGCCGAAAGGUUCGGCUAAUACGCAUACGCGACUACGGUGGAAGCCGGGGACCGCAAGCCUGGCGCUAUUAGAUGAGCCCAAGUCGGAUUAGCUAGUUGGUGAGGUAACGGCUCACCAAGGCGACGAUCCGUAGCUGGUCUGAGAGGACGACCAGCCACACCGGAACUGAGACACGGUCCGGACUCCUACGGGAGGCAGCAGUGGGGAAUAUUGGACAAUGGGCGAAAGACCUGAUCCAGCGACGCCGCGUGGGUGAAGAAGGCCUGCGGGUUGUAAAGCCCUUUCGGUUGGGAAGAAAAGUAUCGACCUAACACGUCGGUACCUUGACGUAACCAACAAAAGAAGCACCGGCUAACUCUGUGCCAGCAGCCGCAGUAAG
rnacentral:rRNA from 1 species